UUCCGGUUCUCGGAACCGUAAUUUGGCCAUGAAUGUGGCCGCUCUCCACUUCAAUUGCCCUAACCUUCUCCAUCUCUGUCGACUGUUGCCGUAACCUAUGAAGUGAAAUCCCUAAUCGGGCUCAUCCUAAGCGGACGGCUGAAGCACUUCCAUGAAUGAAGAGGACGGCUCUCCAUCUUUCAUCGAAAUCUCAAGACCUGCUUUUGAAUAAGGAAUGCAACUGUGGAGGAGCUAGCUGGGCUUGGAGCUAGGGUGCAUACAUGUUCAUCUGGAUCAGUUUGUGACGCAUCCUCUUAAGAACAGAGAGAAAAUCUGAUUACAGAAGUGGGAUUUUUUAAUGGCAGUCUCAACAUUCUUAGGUCAUUAUGUAUAGGAUUCAAAUUGAAUCUCAACCUGAAGAGGAGUCUAUGCUCAGUUUAUGCUGCCCAGAUAUAUUUACAAGAAGUUGGAGGUGUUAACAAGCGCAAAUUGCAAUCAUCUUUUUUCUCUAGUUAGGUAAUGUUACUAUAUAGGUAGACUUAGUUGAUUCGUAUUUAAUAGAUAUAAGUGCAAUUAAUACAUAAGAUUUUGCAGUUAUUUCUCUAUUUGUAAGAUUGUUUUUGUCAUUUUUAUGUUA